rnacentral:rRNA from 1 species
GACAGAGGUGCCAAGCGUUAGGCGGAAUCACUGGGCUUAAAGCGUGUGUAGGUGGACUGGUAAGUACCUUGUGAAAUCCCACGGCUUAGCCGUGGAACUGCUUGGUAUACUGCUGGUCCUGAGCCAACUAGGGGUUACCGGAACAAACGGUGGAGCGGUGAAAUGCGUAGAUAUCAGGAGGAACACCGGUGGCGAAGGCGGGUCUCUGGGCCGAUACUGACGCUGAGGAGCGAAAGCGUGGGGAGCGAACAGG